rnacentral:rRNA from 1 species
CAGUCGCCGCGGUAAUACGAAGGGGGCUAGCGUUGUUCGGAAUUACUGGGCGUAAAGCGCACGUAGGCGGAUAUUUAAGUCAGGGGUGAAAUCCCAGAGCUCAACUCUGGAACUGCCUUUGAUACUGGGUAUCUUGAGUAUGGAAGAGGUGAGUGGAAUUCCGAGUGUAGAGGUGAAAUUCGUAGAUAUUCGGAGGAACACCAGUGGCGAAGGCGGCUCACUGGUCCAUUACUGACGCUGAGGUGCGAAAGCGUGGGGAGCAAACAGGAUUAGAGACCCCCGUAGUCCCUGUCUCUUAUAC